rnacentral:piRNA from 1 species
UGCGCCUUGCUGUGAGUCAUCAGGCGG